GGGUUGUGAGGUUAAGCGACUAAGCGUACACGGUGGAUGCCCUGGCAGUCAGAGGCGAUGAAGGACGUGCUAAUCUGCGAAAAGCGCCGGCGAGGUGAUAUGAACCCUUGACCCGGCGAUGUCCGAAUGGGGAAACCCAGUGCAAUCCGUUGCACUAUCGUUAACUGAAUACAUAGGUUAACGAGGCGAACCGGGGGAACUGAAACAUCUAAGUACCCCGAGGAAAAGAAAUCAACCGAGAUUCCCCCAGUAGCGGCGAGCGAACGGGGAGCAGCCCGGAGUCUGAAUCAGCUUGUGUGUUAGUGGAACGGUCUGGAAAGUCCGACGGUACAGGGUGAUAGUCCCGUACACGAAAAUGCACAUGCUGUGAACUCGAAGAGUAGGGCGGGACACGUGGUAUCCUGUCUGAAUAUGGGGGGACCAUCCUCCAAGGCUAAAUACUCCUGACUGACCGAUAGUGAACCAGUACCGUGAGGGAAAGGCGAAAAGAACCCCGGCGAGGGGAGUGAAAAAGAACCUGAAACCGUGUACGUACAAGCAGUGGGAGCCUCUUUUAUGGGGUGACUGCGUACCUUUUGUAUAAUGGGUCAGCGACUUAUAUUCUGUAGCAAGGUUAACCGUAUAGGGGAGCCGAAGGGAAACCGAGUCUUAACUGGGCGUUAAGUUGCAGGGUAUAGACCCGAAACCCGGUGAUCUAGCCAUGGGCAGGUUGAAGGUUGGGUAACACUAACUGGAGGACCGAACCGACUAAUGUUGAAAAAUUAGCGGAUGACCUGUGGCUGGGGGUGAAAGGCCAAUCAAACCGGGAGAUAGCUGGUUCUCCCCGAAAGCUAUUUAGGUAGCGCCUCGUGAACUCAUCUUCGGGGGUAGAGCACUGUUUCGGCUAGGGGGCCAUCCCGGCUUACCAACCCGAUGCAAACUACGAAUACCGAAGAAUGUUAUCACGGGAGACACACGGCGGGUGCUAACGUCCGUCGUGAAGAGGGAAACAACCCAGACCGCCAGCUAAGGUCCCAAAGUCAUGGUUAAGUGGGAAACGAUGUGGGAAGGCACAGACAGCCAGGAUGUUGGCUUAGAAGCAGCCAUCAUUUAAAGAAAGCGUAAUAGCUCACUGGUCGAGUCGGCCUGCGCGGAAGAUGUAACGGGGCUAAACCAUGCACCGAAGCUGCGGCAGCGACACUAUGUGUUGUUGGGUAGGGGAGCGUUCUGUAAGCCGUUGAAGGUGUGCUGUGAGGCAUGCUGGAGGUAUCAGAAGUGCGAAUGCUGACAUAAGUAACGAUAAAGCGGGUGAAAAGCCCGCUCGCCGGAAGACCAAGGGUUCCUGUCCAACGUUAAUCGGGGCAGGGUGAGUCGACCCCUAAGGCGAGGCCGAAAGGCGUAGUCGAUGGGAAACAGGUUAAUAUUCCUGUACUUGGUGUUACUGCGAAGGGGGGACGGAGAAGGCUAUGUCAGCCGGGCGACGGUUGUCCCGGUUUAAGCAUGUAGGCGGAGGUUCCAGGUAAAUCCGGUACCUUGUUAACGCUGAGGUGUGAUGACGAGGCACUACGGUGCUGAAGUGAUAAAUGCCCUGCUUCCAGGAAAAGCCUCUAAGCAUCAGGUAACACGAAAUCGUACCCCAAACCGACACAGGUGGUCAGGUAGAGAAUACCAAGGCGCUUGAGAGAACUCGGGUGAAGGAACUAGGCAAAAUGGUGCCGUAACUUCGGGAGAAGGCACGCUGAUGUGUAGGUGAAGCCCCUGCGGGCGGAGCUGAAAUCAGUCGAAGAUACCAGCUGGCUGCAACUGUUUAUUAAAAACACAGCACUGUGCAAACACGAAAGUGGACGUAUACGGUGUGACGCCUGCCCGGUGCCGGAAGGUUAAUUGAUGGGGUUAGCGGCAACGCGAAGCUCUUGAUCGAAGCCCCGGUAAACGGCGGCCGUAACUAUAACGGUCCUAAGGUAGCGAAAUUCCUUGUCGGGUAAGUUCCGACCUGCACGAAUGGCGUAAUGAUGGCCAGGCUGUCUCCACCCGAGACUCAGUGAAAUUGAACUCGCUGUGAAGAUGCAGUGUACCCGCGGCAAGACGGAAAGACCCCGUGAACCUUUACUAUAGCUUGACACUGAACACUGGUCCUUGAUGUGUAGGAUAGGUGGGAGGCUUUGAAGCGUGGACGCCAGUCUGCGUGGAGCCAACCUUGAAAUACCACCCUUUAAUGGCUGGUGUUCUAACGUAGACCCGUAAUCCGGGUUGCGGACAGUGUCUGGUGGGUAGUUUGACUGGGGCGGUCUCCUCCCAAAGAGUAACGGAGGAGCACGAAGGUUGGCUAAUCCUGGUCGGACAUCAGGAGGUUAGUGCAAUGGCAUAAGCCAGCUUGACUGCGAGCGUGACGGCGCGAGCAGGUGCGAAAGCAGGUCAUAGUGAUCCGGUGGUUCUGAAUGGAAGGGCCAUCGCUCAACGGAUAAAAGGUACUCCGGGGAUAACAGGCUGAUACCGCCCAAGAGUUCAUAUCGACGGCGGUGUUUGGCACCUCGAUGUCGGCUCAUCACAUCCUGGGGCUGAAGUAGGUCCCAAGGGUAUGGCUGUUCGCCAUUUAAAGUGGUACGCGAGCUGGGUUUAGAACGUCGUGAGACAGUUCGGUCCCUAUCUGCCGUGGGCGCUGGAGAAUUGAGGGGGGCUGCUCCUAGUACGAGAGGACCGGAGUGGACGCAUCACUGGUGUUCGGGUUGUCAUGCCAAUGGCACUGCCCGGUAGCUAAAUGCGGAAGAGAUAAGUGCUGAAAGCAUCUAAGCACGAAACUUGCCCCGAGAUGAGUUCUCCCUGAGACUUUAAGUCUCCUGAAGGAACGUUGAAGACGACGACGUUGAUAGGUCGGGUGUGUAAGCGCAGCGAUGCGUUGAGCUAACCGAUACUAAUGAACCGUGAGGCUUAACCUUACAACGCCGAAGGUGUUU
rnacentral:rRNA from 1 species